rfam:Phascolarctobacterium sp. YIT 12067 genomic scaffold Scfld9, whole genome shotgun sequence.
UGAGUACGAAAGAUGAUCGCGGCUGGCUUUAAGUCAGAUGAGGAAAGUCCGAGCUCCACAGGGCAGGAUGCCGGAUAACGUCCGGCGAGGGUGACCUCAGGGAUAGUGCCACAGAAAUGUGUACCGCCUGCAUUUGCAGGUAAGGGUGGAACGGUGCGGUAAGAGCGCACCAGCGGUCUGGUAACAGGCCGGCUAGGUAAACCCCAUCCGGAGCAAGACCAAAUAGGGGAGGGAUGAAGCUGCCCGCUGAGCCUUCCGGGUUGUGUCGCUUGAGCUUGCAGGUAACUGUAAGACUAGAUAAAUGAUCAUCACCGCUUCGCGGAACAGAACUCGGCUUAUUGAGUACUCAUACC